ensembl:lncRNA
AAUUAUAUAUAUAUAUAUAUAUAUAUAUAUAUAUAUAUAUAUAAUAUACACACACAUACACGUGUUAGCACUCUGUGUGAGCUAGCGUAUCUCUCACCAUAGUCAGUAUGAGUAUGUAACAGUUGCUGUGGUCAUUGAUAUGCUCGACAGGUGUGUUACUGUCGCUGUUGCUAUGGAGAUUUACAAUAUGGCACACUUGACACUAUCACCAAGGAGACUUAGCACUUCGUAUCUUUUCAGCAAUCAAACGCAGUUUGCUCCAAGAUAGCACACUUGUCUUAGCAUAAACUCUGUAAGUGCAGGUUAUUAUGAGUACGUGUGUCCAUUGUGCAGUAAAAGGUGAAGUCAGACGAGUUCACACCAGGUUGCCUGACUGACCGAGCUUUUUCACUGAGCAGUUGCUCUGCGAGCGAGACAAUUUCUGUUGCUUCUCAGACACAGAGCAGCUGUCCUGGGGCGAUGGGGCUCCAUAACACUUCUUUAAUAUGUAGUUCAGAGUAGCAGUCAUUUUUAGCACAUACUAUCUGCAUGUGUUAAUGUGUCUUACUGAGGUAUAUUUAUAUUUAUAACACAAUUGCCUUUCACCAAACUGGUACUACAAAGAGAGGAAAAAAACUAUUUUGCAUAUCUGAAAAGAAUUGAAUUACAUAGAGAGGGGGAAAAGUGUAUUUUUAUAAGGCUGUGAAUUUAAAAUGAAAAAAAAAAAACUGAUUAAAUUAGGGGUAUGUUUUACUCCUGUAACUUAUUUCAGAGGCUUCCUAUUAGGCUGACUGAAGUGCCUUGGCUAAGAGGCACAUUUCCAGGCAGAGUUGAGCAGCAGUAUUGGUGAAAGGAUAAGCAGAGUGUUUGUCUUAUUUGUGAAAGGUCGGAUGCUGGCUGUCCCUAUAACUGCUUGCCACGUCUUCCCUGACCACUGUAUCUGUGGAGCUGAGGUUAGAGGACUAAACAGAGUUUGGUGUCCAAGAAAGAAUUAGCCUUUAUAUGUGAAAAAUUAUUUGGAUUAAAGGAAAAAACAUAUUUUUUUUGCUAGCUGAAGGGUCACAUCAGUGUUCCAAAAGGCCAUACCUUAAACUGAAGCACUUUUUUAACCAAAAAAAAAAAUCUAUAAUCACAGAUGUCUUGGCUUUGGCCUCUAUUGGAACAAUAAUAUUAUUCAGCAAUAUCUUAAACUUGCUUUAUGUGCUGAGGGCUUGUUCCUGACCAAAGCUACUGACUCCCAUCUGUUAACCACUCUGUGAAAUCUGUUCAUUCCUAAAAAUCAGCAGGGGCCAUCAGAGACCAUUCCUGCUGAAGACUUCUUUCUUAUGUUCUCAGGUAUUGGACUAUAUUGGCUAUACCAACAUAUGAGAAUUUUCCAUCACAGAGACUUGAUUGCACUUGUUAUGCUAAUCAGUCUACAGUUGGUGGUGAGAAGUGCUUAUUAUGGAAAACAGAAACCUAAGGGCUAAUUUACAUUACUGCUCAAGAUGUUUGGUAGGGAACAAGCCUGAAGUAAAGAAUUCCAGUCCUAAAAUAGGAAUAGUCCGUAUGUUAUUGCCUGCACAACAAUGAGCACGUUUCUCAUUCCAUCCAGACUGCGGACAAAUAUUAAGAUAUUUCUGAACUUUAGUUCUAGAGAGGAGAUACAAGAACAGAAGUAAUGAAUUCCUAAAACUUUACCUCAGAAUACCCAAUGUUUGGAGUUCAUACUGUUAUUUGUGGUGAAAAUGGUUGUACUUUGAAAAGUGCCGAAAUGUUAAAGAGGUUCACAAAAGUGUGUGAAAGUUAAAAUUAUUGAGUUAUAUUUGCACAAAACUACUGGAACUCCUGUUUUCUCCUGUGACUUAUGCUUUUUAUAAUCUAUACGUUGUAUUUAUGAGAUUAAAUAAUCCAUUAAACUAUUUAUAACCC